rnacentral:pre_miRNA from 12 species
GUGCUGACAGAACAGCCUCUGGUGUUGAUGAUACUGCAUCAUGAACUGAUGAGAAAAUGAAGAGAGGCCAUCAGUUCCUGAUGCACCGCCUUCAGCAUCCAGAGAC